rnacentral:rRNA from 1 species
GAUGAACGCUGGCGGCGUGCUUAACACAUGCAAGUCGAGCGAUGAAGUUUCCUUCGGGAAAUGGAUUAGCGGCGGACGGGUGAGUAACACGUGGGUAACCUGCCUCAUAGAGUGGAAUAGCCUUUCGAAAGGAAGAUUAAUACCGCAUAAUGUUGAAAGAUGGCAUCAUCAUUCAACCAAAGGAGCAAUCCGCUAUGAGAUGGACCCGCGGCGCAUUAGCUAGUUGGUGGGGUAACGGCCUACCAAGGCGACGAUGCGUAGCCGACCUGAGAGGGUGAUCGGCCACAUUGGGACUGAGACACGGCCCAGACUCCUACGGGAGGCAGCAGUGGGGAAUAUUGCACAAUGGGGGAAACCCUGAUGCAGCAACGCCGCGUGAGUGAUGAAGGUUUUCGGAUCGUAAAGCUCUGUCUUUGGGGAAGAUAAUGACGGUACCCAAGGAGGAAGCCACGGCUAACUACGUGCCAGCCGCCGCAGUAACAC